CAGUGAAUCCCAGCCCCACGGCUGGACUCACCACCCUUGUGUAUUAUUAUUUGUUGCUUUGGCAGGCCGCGAGAUUGCCUAGCGAUCGAGCACCGGCUUUGGCUGGAGAGUGCCUGCCAGAGGACCCCAACUCUGUUAUUAGUGAUGUCUGAGUACUAUAUUAAUAGUUA
rnacentral:misc_RNA from 1 species